rnacentral:snoRNA from 1 species
UUCCCAGGUGGUUCCCUAUCCAAGGGGCCAAGUAGUGUAACUGACUCCACUCCUAGGAACUUGGAAUAAAAUCUGGCACACCCAAGGUCUGCGGGGUAAGAUGUUUUAUUCUGACCUCUUAACUGGGCAGAAUAGGU